GACGAACGCUGGCGGCGUGCUUAACACAUGCAAGUCGAACGGAAAGGCCCUGCUUUUGUGGCGUGCUCGAGUGGCGAACGGGUGAGUAACACGUGAGUAACCUGCCCUUGACUUUCGGAUAACUUCAGGAAACUGGGGCUAAUACCCGAUAGGAGCUCCUGCUGCAUAGUGGUGGUUGGAAAGUUUCGGCGGUGGGGGAUGGACUCGCGGCUUAUCAGCUUGUUGGUGGGGUAGUGGCUUACCAAGGCUUUGACGGGUAGCCGGCCUGAGAGGGUGACCGGGCACAUUGGGACUGAGAGACGGCCCAGAAUCCUACGGGAGGCAGCAGUGGGGAAUAUUGCACAAUGGGCGGAAGCCUGAUGCAGCAACGCCGCGUGCGGGAUGACGGCCUUCGGGUUGUAAACCGCUGUCGCCUGUGACGAAGCGUGAGUGACGGUAAUGGGUAAAGAAGCACCGGCUAACUACGUG
rnacentral:rRNA from 1 species